rnacentral:rRNA from 1 species
UACAGAGGUGGCAAGCGUUGUUCGGAAUUACUGGGCGUAAAGGGCGCGUAGGCGGUCCCGUCAGUCCCUUGUGAAAUCCCCCGGCUCAACUGGGGAACUGCAAGGGAUACAGCGGGGCUUGAGUUCGGGGGAGGGAAGCGGAAUUCCGGGUGUAGCGGUGAAAUGCGUAGAUAUCCGGAGGAACACCGGUGGCGAAGGCGGCUUCCUGGACCGAUACUGACGCUGAGGCGCGAAAGCUAGGGGAGCAAACGGG